CCUCGUUAUUUCAGUGCUAAAUCUUUUUUUUUUUCUUUUUCUUUUUCGUUCACGGAGAGAGCCUGUAAAAGCCUCCAAAGCCACUCACUUUCUUUUCUAUUAAAAAGCUCCUUAGAAGAAGACAACAUCAUCCCUCCAAAACCUACCAGCCUUUUCACUAUUUUAUUCAUACAAUGACCAGUCUAUCAUGCGUUUUACCACUUUUAUCUCUUUGUUUAUCUUUUCUCUUACCUCCAUUUACUGAUCCCUUCGUCUCAUCUCUAUUUCUUUAUCAUUUUGUGGGCGAGAGUGAGUGGUAUUGUGUGCUUGUAACUAUAAAGACGCAGAUAAUAUAGAGACUUGAGUAUAUUUCAGCCUUGUUAGGUUUUGGUUGCUGAAUCAUGAGAAAGAAAUCAUGACCAGUUAUAUAGAGAAGAAACCAUGAAAGAUGGAAAAGGGGUGUUUGGAAUGAAGUUUGAUCCAAGAUCCUUGUCUCUCCCGUUAACUUAGUCUCUGUUACUGUUAGGUUUUCAUUACUGAGUGUAUUUGCAGCCCCCUUGUCUGAUUUUAGCAUCAUGAGAGUAGGAAGUGCUGGUGAUCAUAGGGUUUGGUUCAAGAUCCAUUUGACUCUUCUCUUUAUAUCUCUCCUGUGUCCUAGCUGGUAAUCUGUAGUAGUCUUAAUUAUCCCUUACUUCUUGUUAAUUUUUAGGUUUGAUCUUGCAAGUAAUUAUAUUUGGAAAAUAUCAUAAAAUGAUCUCGGACCAGGCUUCAUUCCUUACACCUUGCUUUUCUUUUAUUAUCUGGUUACAAGAACCUAAUUAAGUUGGGUCGAUUUAUACCAAAUAGGUCAGCUAUGGACAUGGAUUAUGAACCUUACAUGCUCGUUGAAGGGAGGAAAGCCAUGGAGAAUCCACCCUCGCAAUCGCUACACCAGAAGCUUUUGGCAGAGGCUCUCAAUAUGAACGGAAGACUAAUUUUAGCCUCAGAAGAACAAACCACCCACCCUAGUAGUAGAAGACCCUAUCCCAUUGUUUUCGUCAUCAUCAUCAACAUCUUUUCAUCCUUCUAGACCUGUCAAGCCCCAGCGACACAUCCCUCAGGUUCGUGAUUGUUCUCGUCUGUUUUGGAUUUUUUGUUUUCUUUUUUUUAAAA